rnacentral:piRNA from 1 species
UCACAUCACUGUGACCUCUGAACCUA